UCCGGACGGGCUCAUGAGCCCUCCCCUCCCCCCACGCAUUUGCCAUAGAGAUACACAAACAACAUGGCAGCAACAGGGACUAACAUUAAUUCUUUCCUCAACUAGUUGUUUCAUUACUUACUUAAGGCACCAAAGUGACCGGCAGCUCGUGUUGCUCCGUCCCCUGCUGAGAGUCACCUACAGCAUUCUCGGAUAACUGAACCACCAGCUACCGCUGACCUGACGGAGCACCAUGCGCGGCACCAGAGGCGGUGCUGACUAACUCUUUUGCGGCUCAACACAUCUACUAAAUGCCGCUAAUACGACCGAGCUGUGACGGAGGUCUGUAGCGGCUUUAACAACUAGCAAUUGCCGCUCUGUAGCACGGAGCUCUUUGACCUCCAACAACAUUUUUU